rnacentral:lncRNA from 1 species
CACCCUACCUCAAAAUCAUAUAUCAUAAGGCUAUGUUACUGUAGAACAAUUUGCCAAAUGCACAAACAAAAAUCCACAUAUCUAUUUAUAACAUAGUCAUAUGCCAAAUUUGGCAUAUUCCUCUUGUGGACAGUUCCACAAUUGGACAUUACCCUAAAUUGAAUAUUGCUAAAUGGAUUAAUAAAACAAAAAAAAUCAACAC